GACGAACGCUGGCGGCGUGCCUAAUACAUGCAAGUAGAACGCUGAAGAGAGGAGCUUACUCUUCUUGGAUGAGUUGCGAACGGGUGAGUAACGCGUAGGUAACCCGCCUUGUAGCGGGGGAUAACUAUUGGAAACGAUAGCUAAUACCGCAUAACAAUGGAUGACACAUGUCAUUUAUUUGAAAGGGGCAAUUGCUCCACUACAAGAUGGACCUGCGUUGUAUUAGCUAGUAGGUGAGGUAAUGGCUCACCUAGGCGACGAUACAUAGCCGACCUGAGAGGGGGAUCGGCCACACUGGGACUGAGACAAGGCCCAGACUCCUACGGGAGGCAGCAGUAGGGAAUCUUCGGCAAUGGGGGCAACCCUGACCGAGCAACGCCGCGUGAGUGAAGAAGGUUUUCGGAUCGUAAAGCUCUGUUGUAAGUCAAGAACGGGUGUGAGAGUGGAAAGUUCACACUGUGACGGUAGCUGACCAGAAAGGGACGGCUAACUACGUG
rnacentral:rRNA from 1 species